GAUGAACGCUGGCGGCGUGCCUAAUACAUGCAAGUCGAGCGAACGGACGAGAAGCUUGCUUCUCUGAUGUUAGCGGCGGACGGGUGAGUAACACGUGGAUAACCUACCUAUAAGACUGGGAUAACUUCGGGAAACCGGAGCUAAUACCGGAUAAUAUUUUGAACCGCAUGGUUCAAAAGUGAAAGACGGUCUUGCUGUCACUUAUAGAUGGAUCCGCGCUGCAUUAGCUAGUUGGUAAGGUAACGGCUUACCAAGGCAACGAUGCAUAGCCGACCUGAGAGGGUGAUCGGCCACACUGGAACUGAGACACGGUCCAGACUCCUACGGGAGGCAGCAGUAGGGAAUCUUCCGCAAUGGGCGAAAGCCUGACGGAGCAACGCCGCGUGAGUGAUGAAGGUCUUCGGAUCGUAAAACUCUGUUAUUAGGGAAGAGCAUAUGUGUAAGUAACUGUGCACAUCUUGACGGUACCUAAUCAGAAAGCCACGGCUAACCACGUG
rnacentral:rRNA from 1 species